AGCGCCAUGAGGUGACAACAGGAACAUCGGCUCAAGGCGUCUACAGCCACGGCCUGUGGGGCGGCCACCGACGAGGGCAUGGAUCCCACUCAAUUUCUUCAGCUUGAUGGGUGCUACUGCUUAAGGGUCUAUUCAGGCUUUGGAUAUGAUAAUAAGUUCCAGAACGUGGCUGCGUAUGUCAGGCUUGCGGUUGUUACAUAUAAUUAUAGUUUUGUCUUCAAAUGUUGCUUUCUAAGGUUAUCAGCGCUCGAAGAAUUGGUAUAACAGAAUUCAGUGUCAAGCUUGCUGCUGUUAUAUUUAGGUUGGAUGGAGCAUCGAGCAUUUCUUCCUUGAGAUGAUUAACAGAUCGUCAUGUGCAUUACUGUCCACAGCUUUACUCUAAAUUGGUUACCCUUUGAGCACUAAAGUGCAUCCUUCAUAUUUUCUCCGAGGUUCGUUUUCUUGGAUAACCAUG